rnacentral:lncRNA from 1 species
UGUGAUCUCUGCAAAGUUUGGCAGAAUCUUACUGAGGUUUACAGAAAACUGAUAGUGCCUCCACAGCAAGAACUCAUCCAUUAAGUAUAGCAGAUGCCUUCAGCAGAGGACAUCUGCAGUGGAGAAAAUUAGACAUUUUCCUUUCAUCUGGAGCCAAGAAUAUACAUGUAUGAUUACUGCCUGCCUGUGCUGAAGGUUUGCUGAAUCAUGUGAUAGUCGUACUCCUGUGGAAAAGUCGGUGUAUAACCUUCCCUUCCUCCACUUCAUGGGAGACUCCAAGAAGUCAGUUGGGAUACGUGCAAAGCGUGUGGGCAAGUUAGGUCAUAUUCAGGGAUGAGGUAAGAUGUUUCGUAAUUUAUGCAUUGCUGAGUGGGUGUAAAUUAUGCUGAAUGGCUAGAUCCUGUGAUUUUCUGGUAGUUACUGUCCU